rnacentral:rRNA from 1 species
UACGGGGGGGGCAAGCGUUGUUCGGAAUUACUGGGCGUAAAGGGUUUGUAGGUGGCCCGCUAAGUCACACGUGAAAUCCCUCAGCUUAACUGGGGAACUGCGUGUGAGACUGGCAGGCUCGAGGGCAGGAGAGGAACGCGGAAUUCCAGGUGUAGCGGUGAAAUGCACAGAUAUCAGGAGGAACACCGGUGGCGAAGGCGGUUCUCUGGGCAUUACCUGACGCUGAGGAGCGAAAGUGUGGGGAGCGAACAGG